UACAGAGGGUGCGAGCGUUGUCCGGAAUCACUGGGCGUAAAGGGCGCGUAGGCGGCCGAUCAAGUCAGACGUGAAAUCCCCCGGCUUAACCUGGGAACUGCGUCUGAUACUGGGAGGCUUGAGUAUGGGAGAGGGAUGUAGAAUUCCAGGUGUAGCGGUGAAAUGCGUAGAUAUCUGGAGGAAUACCGGUGGCGAAGGCGGCAUCCUGGACCAUAACUGACGCUGAGGCGCGAAAGCUAGGGGAGCAAACGGGG
rnacentral:rRNA from 1 species